rnacentral:lncRNA from 1 species
UAAGAUUUAGCCAUUGCCAAAAUUUUGGCAAUUUGUUUAGAUCGCUUCCAAAGUAUUACCCAUAGCCUAUGCCAAACUAAUAAUUUGGCAAUGACAAAUAUUUGGCAUGGUCGAGUUUGACUAAGAACCAAACAAACCCUAAAUGACUCAAUGAAACUGGCUGAACUUUGGGCCAUAUCUCCCUUGUCAAGUGGCAAGCACAGAAAGUUUAGUUCUAUGGUAAUGCGUACCCAAUAUCUAUGGGCAGUGGAUGAUGUGAGAAGUACUCAGCUGCUGAGUAACUGGAUAGAACUUUUGUUUUGCCCAUGGAAACACUUUCUAUUUCAUUUACAUGUAGUGGCUGCUUUCUAUAUUUUUUUUCGCACAUUAACAAUAUAGUGUAAGAGAACUCAAUGGACAAGCAAAAUACCCUCUCAAAGUUUUUAAAACCAAUUUUUUGGACUAGUGAACCUUAGCCUUCCGAACUUGUUUGGGACUAAAGAGCAGUGUUGAUUGGGUCCCAUCCAGAUAGUUGUGAUCUACACUGAAAUAGUAUGUUGAUCCACCUUUUUCACUUAAAGUUAUUCUUUAGUUGGCAUAUGAAAGUUCAGUUGUAAUCAAGUCUUUUGUCUUAAAUACCACCGAAUUGAUCUUUGCUGAGUAGUGUCAUCAUAUUUUAUGAAUUGUACUGGGCUUAAUGAAUCAAUAUAUCCAAAUAUAGUUGUGGAUUUCAUUGUAAUUGUCUGGCCCCACUAUUGUGGCUGACAUUGUUAUGUUAGUUUUGAAUUUGAAUCUGACUAAACUUGCUCUGAUCAACAACCAUAAGCUGCUAUGCCAUAUAAGAUCCAAUGUCUCAAAAUAUAGUCUACUUAUUAUCACCUUUUUUUUUCAAGCUGUUCUAUUGUUUUGCAUUUGACUUUCUUUUAUUUUAUAAUUUUAUUUUCUUGUUAUUUUGGGUGUGAUUAUUCUUAUUUGUGAUAUUGUAAUUGUAAAAUUAAGAACAUUUAUUUUCUUUCAGUUGCAUGGAUUUACAUGUGGAGUAGAUGAUCUGUUACUAUCCCAAGAGUCAGAUAUGACGAGAGAGGAAAUUCUUGGAAAAAGUGAAAAACACAGUAAAAUAGUGCAUAUAAAUUUUACACGUCCCAAAAAGGAUGAUAAAGCUGAAGCUAAAGCUGAAGAUAUACGCCCCAAAGAGGGUGAUGAAGCUGAAGAUACACGCCCCAAAGAGGGUGAUGAAGCUGAAGAUACACGUCCCAAGGAGGAUCAUGAAGCUGAAGAUAGUACACAUCCCAAAGAGGAUCAUGAAGCUGAAGAUAGUACACAUCCCAAAGAGGAUCAUGAAGCUGAAGGUGAUGAUGAAGGUUUGUGGAAUAUCAUCGUUACUGAAAACACUUUCUACCAUUUUUUGAGAAUGUUGAAUCUCUUUCCCUCUUACUCUAUUACUCACACGCACUCAUGCGCACAGACAUUAGAUAGCUCUAUGGAAGUUAAAGGAAAAUAGAUAACUAAAGCACUUAAACUAACUUUGAGCAAUGCGAGCUAAAGAAUACUACCUUGAUUGAUUUUAUAAGGCAUACCUUACUUCCAAAGAGACUUCAAGAUUAGGCCAUUAAUUUCUCAUAAAGUAUUUUCUUAAUAUCUGCAAAAACCAAUAUUGUGUAAACUUGAAAUAUGGUAUGAUAUAGUUUUAUAUAGUAAAUGUACUUGUACUAAUUAUCGGUCAAAACAUGAAAAUGUGGCCUUUCGAAUCAAAAUAGAGGCUCUAAGGAUCAAGGGGAGAGUUGUUUACGACUUCAUAUGCUUCUCUAUAAUGCCACCAUCAGUUGCAUGCUGAUUGUUUAAUUUCUAAAAUUACACAGAUCAAAUGAAAUUGCAAAUGGAAGUCGAAAAAAUUAUACGGAGGAAUGGAGAAUCUGCGACUGUUAUAUUGGAUAGAAAUAUGUCAAGUGAACUGAAUACUUUAACAUCUAAAGUCAAUAAAAAAGUGUUUCCUUAUGGUCUACGGAAGCCUUUUCCUGGAAAUUGUCUCUCUCUUAUGACUCAAACUGGAGCUAAAGGUGGUUUGGUAAGUUUUUUUUUCCCCUGUAGGGGCUUACUGCAUAUGGUACUUUUCUUUGGAUGAGCAUGCUUAGAUUUACUUCACCUGCUUGGGUUAAUGUGCUUCCAUUUCAUUUUGUUGCUAGGUCAACAUGACACAAAUUUCAUCAUUGCUAGGCCAGCAAGAAUUAGAAGGAAAGCGUGUUCCACGAAUGAUUUCUGGGAAGACGUUACCUUGCUUUCCACCGUGGGAUACUUCUUCAAGAGCUGGUGGUUUCAUCGGUGAUCGAUUUUUAACUGGUCUCCGUCCUCAAGAGUACUAUUUUCACUGCAUGGCUGGCAGAGAGGGGUAAACUUUUCUGAUGUUUGAAACAGUUUUCCUUGAGUGCUCAACCUGCUAUGAGUGGAGUGGAAAAUAGCCUUCAAAAUUUCCUGCCAUGAAUUACUCACUCUUGUGAGUUUAUUGGGGAUCUCAGAAUCCCCCUUUUCUUUGUUUGGUACACACAAAUAGCGUUAUUUUUUAAAUAUUUUUGAAUGGCAUUUUAUGCGCUCAUGCGUACACCAGCCGCUUUCCACUUUGGCAGGCGGCAUUGGUGAAAGGCAGGCAAUUUAUGUUUUGAACAGCUCUGGGAUAUCCAUGUUUUAGUUGGAUUGGAUAACUGUUUGGGUAUAGAUUUAUUGACUACAAAAUAUUUUUAUUUGAACAGGAUAGUUUGCCCUUUUUAAGUCUGCUGGACCUAUAGAUAUCUAAUCCAUAUUCAUCAAUUGCCUACUCCAGUGCAUGCAUGACUUUGCAUCUGUAUUUUAGUAUGCCUUUUGAUGUUCAUAAACAGGAAGUUUAUGUUUCUCCUCUUGAAAAAAAAAUCAUGUAAUAUAAACUGUGAUGAUAAGUCUUUUACUCCUGGAUUUGGAUGGCUAACCUUAUCUGUUAACUGAGACAUGGAAUUCUGUUACAUAUAACUGGAUGUGUAGUCGUGUUUGUGAGGUAAUAUGCUAUUUAGUGUAAUACAUCGUUACAAUCUUAUUGGCUUUAGAUGUUGGUUGAUUAUUCAUAUUUACUGUAGGUUGGUAUUUAGCUUAUGAAUAUUUACUGCAGGUUGGUUGACACAGCAGUCAAAACUUCUCGUAGUGGUUAUCUUCAGCGUUGUCUUAUCAAAAGUCUCGAAUCAUUAAAAGUCUCAUAUGAUCACACAGUACGUGAUGUUGAUGGAUCAAUCAUACAGUUUUGCUAUGGAGAAGAUGGAGUUGAUGUGCUCAAAACUAGCUUUCUAGACGACAAAUUCAGGGAGCUUUCUGAUGUAAAACACUAAGUCCUGAUGAAAUUAUGUCUGCCUUAAUUAUAUGGUGUGCCUUUUGUCCAUGCAAUUGUUGAUGCAAUUAUUUAUCGUUUUCCCAACUUACAGAAUAGAAGAGCUCUCCUUGGCAAGCUUGAUAGCCACAAUGACAAGCACCUGUUAUUAAAUCCAAAUGGAUACAUUUCUGAAUUGCCUGAGAAGCUGAUUGAAAAUGCAAUGGAGUUUCUAAAAUCCAAAAGAAAUGAGAAAGGUCGUUAUGACAUUAAAGAGAAAGAGCUAAUGAAGUUACUGAAAGUCAAGUACAUAUCUAGUCUUGUAGAUCCUGGGGAAGCUGUUGGUGUGGUUGCUGCUCAAUCCAUAGGAGAACCAUCAACACAGAUGACGUAAGAUCUUCUAUAGACUUUCUCUCUGUGGUUUUUGAUUCACUAUGUAUUCCAAGUAUGUACUUGGUGUAUUCUAGAUAGGUUAUUUAUGUAUCCAGUGCCUGGUUAGUUUCUUGAGAAAAAAACAGUUUUGGCUACUUUUUGAACCAUAGUCUAAGUAAAAUAUAAUGACUAUACAUACCACAGAAUGCAUAGAUAUUUCUGUGAUGGUACUUGAUUAUGAGAACUAAAAUGAGCUAUAUCUAAAAAUUAGUUUGUGUGCCAAGAUUAAAUGAAGAUGAGAUAUAUAAAAAAAAGCUAGAUUUGUAGCUAAUCUCUCGGAAAAUAUACACGUUAUUUCAAAUUUCUUUGAACUAAUUUUUGUUUGACCAAAGGCCACCCAAUAGGCAUCUUCCAUUGUUGCUGUAGUGACUACACUUUAUUUGAUCAUUCGUCUUUAUUACGCUCUUAUCUAAGAACUUGUUCAACAUUUCUGUGAUAAGAUGACUAACUUUGUUUGCCUCGCCCCUUCAGGCUCAACACUUUUCAUCUCGCUGGACGGGGUGAGAUGAAUGUUACGCUUGGUAUUCCUCGUUUGAAAGAACUUCUAAUGACUGCAUCGGCUAAAAUUAGUACACCUUUUAUGAAGUGUCCUCUGCUUGAAGAUAAGACUUGGUGAGCUUUAUUUGUUUUUUACUUUGAAGAUGGCUCAUGCUAGUAUUCUCUUAGGUUGAUUUAUGUAAUUUACGUGAGUCUGUACACAUGUUUCCUGCAUUUCUCAUUGCCUGCUGAAUAUGAUACGGGGCAAAUAGAGAUCUUGAUCAAACUAUACUUAAACUUUUGCACCACACUAGCAUGAUAUAAAGGGACUAAUUUUCUGCAUAUAGGGAUGAUGAUGAAGAAGAAAUGGAUGAUAAAUUAAAGAAGGCCCGUGAUGCUGAACGAUUGGCUGCUAAAUUAAGGACGAUUGAUGAUGCUGAACGAAUUGCUGCUAAAUUAAGGAGGGUUCGUGUAGCUGACAUUGUAGAGAGAAUUGAAGUAUGCACAGUUCCUUUUCACAACAAUAAUGGUUGUGUUUCAACCCUGUAUAAGUUACAGUUGAAACUCUACCCACAAGGGCUAUAUCCACGUCAGUCAGAACUUACAGUAGAAGAGUGCCAUGAAACCUUGAGAACUGUUUUUAUUGAUGCAAUGGAUCUUGCUAUCAGCAAACAUUUAGAUUUGCUACACAAAAUUAAUGAGAUCCAGGCAGUUAAGUCAAAUGAUAUGGAGAGUCAACGGUCUGAUGGAGUCGAAGAAUCUGAAAAUGGACCUACUGAUGAAGACAAUGGUGUGAGCGAUGGUGAAAAUGAGGAUGAUUUGGGAGCUGAUGCAGAAAAAUGGAAACGGCAAGAGAUAGAUGAGAUGGAGUAUGAUGAUGAUGCUGAAAAGGAAGAGGGUUUUGAUAUGGAUAGUGAAUCUGAAGAAGAUACCAAAUCUAAACCUGAGAGUGAAGAUCAUCAAGCAAAAUUAGAUGAAGAGUUAGAAGAGUCUGAGGAAGGACAUGUGCUAGAUUCUAGCAACAAGGGGGAAAAUUUAAAAGCUAAGCAAGCAACAGCCAGACUCGAAGAUGAAAUGAAUGAAGCUGAGGAUGAAAAGGCGCAAGUGACCAUAAAGUUCAAGAAAAACAUAAAAUGGACUAUUCAUUAUGAAUCAACAGGUUUAAAUUUUGAGGUUCACUACGCUUUGCAAGAGCAACCUCAUAUUCUGUUAGCCCAGGUACUUCUUUAUAUACAGUACAACUUACAUUUUGCACCUCACAUUGUAACAUAGGUUGAAUCAUCUUAAUAGUUCGCCCUGUGCAUAUAAUUAUGCUUUGCUUUGUACUAUAUUGAUGGCUUGUUUGAAUUUCUUUUCCAGAUUGCUCAGAGAACAGCUAGGUCUGUUUUUGUCAAGGCCUGUAAGAAUAUUGAUCGAUGUGAAGUGAAUAAACCAAAGAAGAUAGAUAAUAAUACGAUAAAUACUCCCAUCACUCUACAAACAGCAGGGGUGAACUUUGAAGUAUUCCAUAAGUUAGUGGACUAUCUCGAUAUCAAUGAGGUCAGAUCCAAUGAUAUACACGCUAUGUUGAACACAUAUGGGGUAGAGGCUGCAAGGGCAACCAUCAUUGGGGAAGUGAAGGGCGUAUUCGGUGCUUAUGGUAUCCAUGUUGACAUGAGGCAUCUGAACUUGAUUGCGGAUUUCAUGACCUUCGACGGCGGUUACCGACCGAUGAGCAGGCUAGGGAUGGGCCAGUUCAGCACCUCGCCAUUUGGUAAGAUGACUUUUGAGACGGCAACCAAGUUUAUUGUGGAAGCAGCUUCUCAUGGAGAGUCUGACACACUGGACGGCCCUUCGGCAAGCGUCUGUCUGGGGAAACCUGUUAAGGUGGGGACGGGUUCCUUUGGCUUGCUGCAGAAUUUUUCCCUGGAGCAACCUGUUGCGAUGUAAGCAUACAUGUAGCAUCAUCAGCCUGUUUGCUUUACUGGAUUAGUCCAAUUUUGAUGGAGGCUGCCAU